CUGACAAAGAGCUGGAUACAAACCUCUCUGUCCUAAUAGCACUGCCAUCGCAGAAGCAGAACUUAAGGAGGGAAUGGAGGAUAACAUUAAGUAUGUCCAUCUUUGUGGGCUGUCCAAGGAGCCAGCUUCAAUGGCAAAGGAAACAUUUUCCAUCAAUGAUAUAUCAACAAAAGAAAUGAUAGGCAAGCCAACAUCUCGGUCUCUGUCUCCUCAUUGCCUUUGCUUCCUGUCACCACAGGUUCUCACAGAGUACAUAUCUCCCAGGAGCAGCAUCAAAAGUUCCAUCUGA
rnacentral:lncRNA from 1 species